GUGAGGAAUAUUGCGCAAUGGCCGAAAGGCUGACGCAGCGACGCCGCGUGAGGGAUGAAGUCCGUUAGGAUGUAAACCUCUUUUGCAGGGGAUGAAUGUCCCGUUUGACGGGAUUGACAGUACCCUGCGAAUAAGGAUCGGCUAACUACGUGCCAGCAGCCGCGGUAAUACGUAGGAUCCGAGCGUUGUCCGGAAUUACUGGGUGUAAAGGGCGUGUAGGUGGGUUCCUAAGUCGAUGGUGAAAUCCUGCAGCUUAACUGCAGAACUGCCUUCGAUACUGGGGAUCUUGAGUGCGGCAGAGGGAGAUGGAAUUCAUGGUGUAGCGGUGAAAUGUGUAGAUAUCAUGAAGAACACCGGUAGCGAAGGCGGUCUCCUGGUCCGCAACUGACACUGAGGCGCGAAAGCGUGGGGAGCAAACAGGAUUAGAUACCCGGGUAGUCC
rnacentral:rRNA from 1 species